GAUGAACGCUGGCGGCGUGCUUAACACAUGCAAGUCGAACGGUAAAGUCGGAGCUUGCUCUGCUGGAUCAGUGGCGAACGGGUGAGUAACACGUGAGCAAUCUGCCCCUGACUCUGGGAUAAGCGCUGGAAACGGCGUCUAAUACUGGAUACGAGCUGCACAGGCAUCUUCAGCAGCUGGAAAGAAUUACGGUCGGGGAUGAGCGGGCGUCCUAUCAGCUUGUUGGUGAGGUAAUGGCCCACCACGGCGACGACGGGUAGCCGGCCGGGGAGGGGGGACGGCAACAAGGGGAAUGAGAUACGGCGAUGACUCCGACGGGAGGGAGCAGGGGGGAAUAGUGGACAAGGGGGGCAACGAUGAUCAAGACAUUCUGUGUGAACGAUGAAGGUUUUCGGAUUGUAAAGGGCUCUCCGCAGGGAAGAAAAAAAUGACGGUACCUGCAGAAGAAGCGACGGCUAAAUACGUG
rnacentral:rRNA from 1 species